UUCUUCCCUUUCAAAGACCACCAAACUCAGCAAUAUCUUCCUCUUUGGCUAAAGAUCUGAAUGUUUUCCGCAUGAACUCGGCCGCGGGCAGAGUAAUGUUUCUUCUUUGAGCCUCUAAACCGAACAGAUUCAAAGGUUGAAUCUUUAUCUCUUUCCUGUCCUGUCUGUGGAUGGGUGAAGAGGGAAUGCCAAGUGAUGUGAAAAACACAGCUAAAACAAGUCCAAAACUCACAGUAUUGCCUCUUGUUGCUUUGAUAUUCUAUGAUGUAUCUGGGGG
rnacentral:misc_RNA from 1 species